rnacentral:rRNA from 1 species
GCCCCCCGGCCCGGGAUAGCCCAGGGAAACCUGGAUUAAUACCGGAUGAGACGGGACCCGCGAUGGCGGGAGUCCGGGAAAGGCGCUGCGGCGCCGGCCGGGGGAUGAGUCUGCGUCCCAUUAGCUAGACGCGGGGUAACGGCCCACCGUGGCGACGAUGGGUAGCCGGCCUGAGAGGGUGGACGGCCACAUUGGAACUGAGACACGGUCCAGACUCCUACGGGAGGCAGCAGCUAAGAAUCUUCCGCAAUGGGCGAAAGCCUGACGGAGCCGACGCCGCGCGAACGAAGAAGGCCGUGAGGUUGUAAAGUUCUUUUCGGGAGGGGGAACAACCGUGGCAGGGAAUGGCCGCGGGAUGACGUGAAUCCCGGAAUAAGCCCCGGCUAACUACGUGCCAGCCGCAGC